rnacentral:lncRNA from 1 species
CCAGCAACCCAAAGUUGACUGGGAGACGACGGCCUAGACCACUCACGAACUCAUCACAGCAUCCUCCACGCGCCUCAUCCUGUGGUACCUGCUCCUGACCUGUGGGGGGGGUGUGAGACAGCAAGAGUGAGCUCACAUACGUUCAUCGCUCAGCAAGUUGUGGGGAAUAAUGUGUAUGAACUCGCCAAAGGUGGGAGCUCAUGUGAAGUGUAAGGCUUACCAAAGAGGAUGGCUGAAGCUGAGCAUUGCUUUUAAAGUUGGUCAAAUUUUUAUUAGCCAUUACUAAGUAUAAGUAAAUACCAACCCAAUUAAAUAGUAGAACAGAAGUAACAACAUCACCUGCGAUGCAAUGCAUAUGACAAAUUGAAUUUAAGUUCCAUAGAUUAAUCAUGUGAGUGUCCGAGCCGCUCAUGACCGUGAGCACGGCUAGUAUACCAGUUUUACACUCUGCAGAGGUUGCGCAUCUUUACCCACAAGUCAUGUUACCCAUCUGCCAAGGGAUCGCGACUUCCCAUACACCUCUACCGAGGAGGCGAGGCAGGGUAACACUACGAGGCCUUUACAAAGUUCCACUAGCUUCAGAAAACCCGCUACAGUUUAUAGGAAGCUCCAAUGCAGGAAUCCCUUGCAGGACCGCCAUCACAGCAAAAUCCUCCCGAGGGCCUCCCCAGGAAUCCCUUGCAGGACCGCCAUCACAGCAAAAUCCUCCCGAGGGCCUUCCCAGGAAUCCCUUGCAGGACCGCCAUCACAGCAAAAUCCUCCCGAGGGCCUCCCUACACUGACCACUCCCCUACUGCCCUUGCCCCUUUCGGGUAAGGUAGUCUUCCACUAGCUUUCCUAAUAAAUCGGCCAAGGGCGUCCCAUUAAACCCUUGUGGUAGCACUGUUUUCCCGGGUGGUUCUCCAUGUUCCAAUUAACAUAAUGAUCUUAUCAUGAACAGUGAUAAUAAACAGAUAAUAAAAGUGUGAUCAUGAAUAAUGUAUCUUCAUACCCAAACCACAUAAAGCACUAGCAAGUACUACCCAAAAAGUUCAGUGGUAAACAAGGUAUAAAGAUAGACAAACUAGGGUAACCUAUUGGGUCCCAUCAAAAUUAACCUAUGCAGAUCAUUAUGAUUAAUCAGAACAUGGCUGGGUAAAAAGAAGUGAUCAAGGGCACAACUUGCCUGGCACUUGAGAUUCCAGGUACCAACUUGCUCUUCAGGUGACACGUGUCCUCACGCUAGUCGUAGCAAUACAAACAAGUAGUGUAUAGGCAAAAUUAACAUCACACCAAACAUAAGAACAAACUGCGUAAUAACGAUCUACGCGAUACUACGAGAUCGUAGAAACAAGAACCACUAAAUUCGGAGCUACGGAUAUUGAGUUAUGAAUUUCCGAAAUCAAUUAGCACCUAGAAUAGAUUAAUUCAAUUGAGCAAUUUUAAUUCAAGUUUCAUGGUUAAACAAAGGUACUAAGUGAUAAACGAUAUUAAAACAAAAUUAAUGCCACUGAAAUGAAUCAAUUUGGAGUUAAAAUGAAUUAAAUAUGAAUUAAACAAGUUUUAAGAUUUAUUUUUAUACUACAAAUCAAUUUCUAAUAUUAAUUAUCUAGUUUCUCUGUUAUCUGGACUGCGCGUCAUUUACUAAGAAGCUCGAGGUUUAAUUCGCAAAAUCUACCAGACUCAACCCUGACCCGAGGUGGACGGCGGGUUGAUUCUUAUACUUCUCAGGGUCUCUUGUGUAAAACGCCUACGACGAAGGGGUAUGGUUAAUUCUGAGCCGCGAGAUCAGAUAGCGACGGUCCAGAUUAGAUCUGCCCCCAACGAACCGGUACGCGAUCACAUCCGUCCGAUCGACGACCGACGACGCGGAUUUAAAAUACUCCAACCCGCCCAGAAUCGCCCGAUCGAGAUCAAAUGGCUCAUAACCAAACUGGGCGAACCGGCAUCCAUAUCUAAUCGUGGCCACAUGCCCAUGAUCCAACGGCUGGCCGGGUUUCUUCCUCCCACGACGACUCCGGGCGGUGCCACUGUGUGCCCACGGCGGCGCCGUUGACAGCAACUGGGCAACCCGACCGGCCAGCGAUUCGGCCCCAAAUCGAAUCAAGGCUACCCGUUAAGAAGCCAACAACGAACGUGUGAGGGGGUUUCUUACCGGAUUUUAUGUUGCGAAGUCGUCCGCCCACGGUGGCGGCAAUUCUUCGAACGCCGGCGACGAAUUACGCCAGCAACGCAUGCCAAACGCACCCGGGAAAACCACGUACGGAAGCGGUGAACACCGGCGAUGCCCCAGGACCCGUCGUCGAGGCCAGAGCAACGAGGAGGACGCAGAUCAAUGGUGGCGGCAACCUCUCUGUUCCAUCUCUCUCCCAUGGAUUCGCUCAGCAAUAUGGAUCACGGCGGCUACUAACCCUCUUGGCGAGCACACGAUGGCGGCGUCAAUCGGGCACUGGACGAAGGUGAGGGCAAGUGGCUACGCGGCGGCUGUGAGGUCUUCCAACGGCGCGCGGCGUUGGGUUUCCUCCCGUGAUUUCUCUCUCCUCUGUUCUUGUGACCACGGUGGACCUCGGCGUUCGUUCACAGGGUCGGGCGAGGGAGCAGGGCUCGGGAUUUAUAGCGCCGCGGAUUCCGCAAGAGCUGGCGGGAGAACCGCGCCCUUCCAGGCCGAGUUCGUUCGAUCCGCACGGAUUCCGCGCCACCGGUACCGAGGUAGACAGAGAUACGCGCGUUUCUGUUACGAACGACGCGGCGGAGAAGAAGGAGCUGACCAUGCGGCCCCACGCGUAAGCGCCGCGAGCGGAACGCGAGAAGGAUAAGAGUGGCGGCAGCAGCGGAGCUGGCGGGCGCUGAUGGGCCUAGGGUUUAGGUUAGUUGGGCCAGGGAAAUUUGGCCCGCACAGGUAUGAGUCUCCUUUUCUGUUUUUUUUUUUUACUUUCUUAUUUUUGGCUGAGUUCAUAAAGUUCAAAUUCAAAUUUAAAUUUAAACAAAUUCUAAAUGCACAUUCAAAAUUCCAAUAUGAUGCAAAGUAUAUUUAUUUAUUAUUCCUAUUUCUCUAAAUAAACAUGCUUCAACACAUAAAGAAUGAAUCAUACAAUUAAAUAAUUAAGUACCCUUCUUGUAUUAUUAAAUAGAGUUAGUAAUAACUUAUUUCAAGAUUUAAAUGUUUAUUACCAUGAAAUCUUCAUGAGACAACACUUUCGUAUAAUUAUUUAGAGAAUAGUUUAAAGCAUAAGAUUUAAUGUUUAAUUAUUUAAGUCCCUAGAGGUUCUUUUCAUCGAUUAC